ACUGAUGGCCAUAAGUGAUCACAGCUCUGAGAUGAAGUCUCCACAAAAACAAGCCUUCGUAAAACGCCUGUUGCAGUCCAGUAUAGCUGGAGAUGUGCCUUCAUGGCCUCCAUACUUCCUCAGCUCCAUUCUGCCUCUACUUCCACAUCUCCCAGUCAGUCACUUUCAGCAGCUCACAUCUCAACAACUCACACCUUUAAUGGAGGUGCUGGGGAACAGCAGUCUGGAUGCCACAAGGGGAUGCCAUGUACUUCGUACUGUAUUUGGUAGUGGGAAGAACCUGACGAGUAACAACAUAAUGAGGUACAAAUCCAAUUUCAAUAUCAUUUGACAUUGAUAAAUGUACAAAUAUACAAUACACCAUGUUUCUCUCAACAGGUUAGGAGUUCUCAUAUGCUACCUGAACUCAGAGGACUUACAACAGCUAUUGUCUUCAUCGAAUCUCUCACCAGUCCUGUGGCAGCAGCUGGCACAAUGUGUAUCAGAGGGACACGUCGGUGGAAGUGGCAGAGUGAGACUUGAUUUUCUGGAUAUUGUGCAUCGUGUAAUAAUAUUUCAAGUGUUAUUCAUGAGGAGUUAUCUUAUCUGCAGCUGUCGCUUUGGCUUGGGACGGCCCUUAAAUCCUUAAAUGUCAGUGUCUUAUCAGCGUCGGCAAUGGCCUCGUUGCAUGGUAUGCUGCCACAGUUGGGCGCUUCAUUUUUGGAGCCGCUGUCCUCAAAUGAGUUGUUGCAUCUGUUAACUCUGCCAGGUGUACCGACUUUCCCAUCUGCACAGGCAUUCCAGAUACUGAACAAAAUAGCAGAAGAAACAAAUUUCAGUGCCAACACACUCUGCAGAUUAAAGCCAUUGUUUCCGGGUCUGGGGCCUUCUUUCUUGAGAAAGCUUGUUGUUACUGAGUCUGCGCCUGAUUGUCUGUGUUGGAGUUUAAUGCUGGCUGACCUGCACCCUGCUCAUCGAGCGAUGGUCCAUUUUACACUCCAACAGGCUCUGGAACGAACAUCUGCAAAUAUAACACGGCAGUUGCAAUGUCUUCUACCAUUCGUUUCCUUGAAGAAAUUAAUGUCAGUUCUGGAUGGAGAGACAGUCCUUCAUCACAUAUCUCUGUAUAAGGAUAUGCCAUGGUCUCACCAACAGGCUCAAAUGCUGUUCAAAAUGACUCAGCGGACCGUGAACAUCACAGGAGUGUCAUUACUGUAA
rnacentral:lncRNA from 1 species